CUGGGGAUCCGGUAAGCAUGUGAUGCCGCUGGGGCACAGCAAGGGUGGCGUUGAUGCUGCAGCUGCGUUGUCAAUCUGCUGUUGUGAUUUGAAAGACAAAGUUGCUGGUUUAGCACUGGUACAGAGCCCCUAUGGUGGCACUCCCUUGGCUUCUGAUAUUCUUCGUGAAGGCCAGAUUGCAGACAAAGAAACCCGCAUGAUCAUGGAACUUUUGAUAUGCAAGCUAAUUAAGGGUGACAUUCAGGCACUGGAGGAUCUUACUUAUGAGAAGCAAAAGGAGUUCAUCAUGAAGCACAAGCUGCCAUAUGAGCAAAUUCCUCUGGUUUCCUUCCACUCUGAGGCAAGCAUAGCCCCUGAUAUGUUUGCCACAAUGACACAUAUAGCACAUGCCAAACUUCCCUGGCUGCCCCUACCAAAUUUUUUAACUCAAGAAGAGUCAGAUGAAAUCGUUCAAGCAGGACGCCAGCUGCCUGUAGUGAUUCCUUCAUCUGCUGCAAUGGCUGUGACUGCACUUCAUCUACAACUCAGGUACGGGGAGAAGAGUGACGGAUUGGUGACGUGCCGUGACGCUCAAGUUCCAGGUUCGGUUGUGGUCACGCCGGACAGGAAGCUUUGACCAUGCCUGGAUGGUUUAUUCCACAAGGAAAAAGAAUCCUAGUGAUGCUGAUGCCUCAGAAAUGUGUGAGGCCAUUUUAACUCUGCUUGUAGAGCUUGGAAAGUUAAGAGUAAUAGGGAAAAAGUUAGGAAAUUAAUCCAUCCAUCACACAAUUUUUUUGCUUCCAAUUUGUUUAAUUUGGUUUGUUAAACAAAAUAUUCCAAAGGAAAGAGAGGAGAAAUCUAACUUUUCCUCCUGUUUUUCAGCUGGCAUGUAUGUUUGGUGACUUAAUGCAUUAUAGAAUGCAGUGUUAGUUAUUUGUAUAGAAUGCAGGCUCAGAGUUAGAGUUUAUAAGAAAUAUUUGUAGUUGAGGUGUUGGUAGUCA